rnacentral:rRNA from 1 species
AUUGAACGCUGGCGGCAGGCCUAACACAUGCAAGUCGAGCGGAUGACGGGAGCUUGCUCCUGGAUUCAGCGGCGGACGGGUGAGUAAUGCCUAGGAAUCUGCCUGGUAGUGGGGGACAACGUUUCGAAAGGAACGCUAAUACCGCAUACGUCCUACGGGAGAAAGCAGGGGACCUUCGGGUCUUGCGCUAUCAGAUGAGCCUAGGUCGGAUUAGCUUGUUGGUGAGGUAAUGGCUCACCAAGGCGACGAUCCGUAACUGGUCUGAGAGGAUGAUCAGUCACACUGGAACUGAGACACGGUCCAGACUCCUACGGGAGGCAGCAGUGGGGAAUAUUGGACAAUGGGCGAAAGCCUGAUCCAGCCAUGCCGCGUGUGUGAAGAAGGUCUUCGGAUUGUAAAGCACUUUAAGUUGGGAGGAAGGGUUGUAGAUUAAUACACUGCAAUUUUGACGUUACCAACAGAAUAAGCACCGGCUAACUCUGUGCCAGCCGCCGCUGUAAGAC